UCCAAUUUCUAAUGUCCUCCCUUUUCCCCUUCUGCUUGUAGAUGAGGGUGAUGAUGCCCUUCCUCAUGGACUCAGACAUACUGCCGGCCAGAAGCAUAGCGUUGUACACUUCCAGCAGGUCUGGGCCCAUCCAGUUCCACAGAGCCGAGUACAACUCAGCCGGAAUUCUGCAGAUGCUGGAAAUUCAAGCAACAUACAUCAAAGUUGCUGGUGAACGCAGCAGGCCAAGCAGCAUCUCCAGGAAGAGGUGCAGUCGACGUUUCAGGCCGAGACCCUUCGUCAGGACUAACUGAAGGAAGAGCUGUCCAAACCCAACCUUUUACAUGGAUGCAAACAACAGGAAUUCUGCAGAUGCUGGAAAUUCAAGCAACACACAUC